UGCGGAGGGCGCAAGCGUUGGUCGGAAUCAUUGGGCGUAAAGCGAGUGUAGGCGGCUUGGUAAGUCGAGUGUGAAAGCCCGGGGCUCAACCCCGGAAGGUCGCUCGAAACUGCCUCGCUCGAGUCCCGGAGAGGAAGGCGGAAUUCCAGGUGUAGAGGUGAAAUUCGUAGAUAUCGGGAGGAACACCAGCGGCGAAGGCGGCCUUCGGGACGGUGAUCGACGUUGAGACGCGAAAGCGUGGGGAGCAAACAGG
rnacentral:rRNA from 1 species